rnacentral:rRNA from 1 species
GGGUUGUGAGGUUAAGCGACUAAGCGUACACGGUGGAUGCCCUGGCAGUCAGAGGCGAUGAAGGACGUGCUAAUCUGCGAUAAGCGUCGGUAAGGUGAUAUGAACCGUUAUAACCGGCGAUUUCCGAAUGGGGAAACCCAGUGUGUUUCGACACACUAUCAUUAACUGAAUCCAUAGGUUAAUGAGG